rnacentral:rRNA from 1 species
UACGUAGGGUGCGAGCGUUGUCCGGAAUUAUUGGGCGUAAAGAGCUUGUAGGCGGUUUGUCGCGUCUGCUGUGAAAAUCCGGGGCUCAACCCCGGACUUGCAGUGGGUACGGGCAGGCUAGAGUGUGGUAGGGGAGACUGGAAUUCCUGGUGUAGCGGUGAAAUGCGCAGAUAUCAGGAGGAACACCGAUGGCGAAGGCAGGUCUCUGGGCCGAUACUGACGCUGAGGAGCGAAGCGUGGGGAGCGAACAGG